rnacentral:lncRNA from 1 species
GGGCUGUUCGCUGUGUUGUGGCAUUCGGGCAAAGCAAGAUCGCGAUGAGACAUCACUGCAAAAGAUGCCAGAAAAAGUUUACAUCAUUGGACACGUUCUUCAAGCACACAUUAUAUCAUGAAACAUCAUCAAGAGGUGUUCCAUGCAGCGUUGUCGGCUGUGAGGCUGCAUUCAAAAAUUACAACUCAUUGCGAAGCCACAUCACAAGGUGUCAUUCUCCGCUUGCACCUCGUAAUGCAACUAACUUCCAAUCCUGCCGGACAUGCAGUGUUAGUUCCUGCAGUGAAGAGGCUUACAGGUGUCUGUCUGGACGGAACAUUGAGCCUGCCCAAAGAUGUCCUCCUCCUCGUGACAUUCCUAUGUUCAAGCCCCAAAAAUGAUGCUGUGCUCGAGUGGAGCCUCAAAAUCAACAAGGCCGAGGCAGAGUUCAAAGAUCAAAACGCAGCAGCUGUCUGCCUCCUCCCAUUGCUUGCAUCCUACUUUCAAGAAAACCUCGGAGAGCUC